rnacentral:rRNA from 1 species
UACGUAGGGUGCAAGCGUUGUCCGGAAUUAUUGGGCGUAAAGAGCUCGUAGGCGGCUUGUCGCGUCGGAUGUGAAAGCCCGGGGCUUAACUCCGGGUCUGCAUUCGAUACGGGCAGACUAGAGUUCGGUAGGGGAGUCUGGAAUUCCUGGAUGUAGCGGUGAAAUGACGCAGAUAUCAGGAAGAACACCCGUGGCUAAGGCGGCUCUCUAGUACGGUACUGUACGCUGAGACGCGAAAGCGUGGGGAGCGAACAGG